GAAAGACGGAGGUCAGAGAUACUUGUGGCAAUGAAACUGCUCCUGCAAUCAACAGAAAGGUUGUAGAGAGACACUGCAAUUGGGAAUCAUGCACUGCAAGUGAGAGCUGACACAAAGAUGCAACAACAACUACAAAAGCUGCAGAGGAGGAUGCUGUCUGCUGAAUUAGAGCACUUCACCUAAAGCAAAAUUAAAUUUAUACCAGGAAAUGUAGGACUAAGUAUCUGAAAAAUAAAAGAAACGCGAACUACCAACUAAGAGAGAGAAUUAGUGUAUUAAAAAGAAGAGGUCUUCAGUCAUGGAGAGCUGUGAGGGUAGGAUGAGAAAAUAACAGCUUCAGCUUCCCAACUGAGACCCAAGUAUAUAUGGUAUGCUUCACAGAAGGACACCUAUACACACAGAACCCCAGGGACUUACCAUGGAGCUCAUUACUGCUCAAGGCCCAGGAGCAGAAUUAUUGUUGUACAGCCACAGAAAUUAACAACUGCAGGGAGAGGGAGAAUGAUGCUCCUCUUCUGUGCUUGAACGG